rnacentral:rRNA from 1 species
CGGGGUGCAGCAGGCGCGAAAACUCUACAAUGCAGACAACUGCGAUAGGGGAACAUCGAGUGAUCCUCAUAUUGGGGGUCUGUCCACCCGUCUAAAAAACGGGUGUUAGCAAGGGCCGGGCAAGACCGGUGCCAGCCGCCGCGGUAAUACCGGCGGCUCGAGUGGUGGCCGAUAUUAUUGAGUCUAAAGGGUCCGUAGCCGGCUUUGCAAGUCUCUCGGGAAAUCCAGCGGCUUAACCGUUGGUCGUCCGGGGGGUACUACAUUGCUUGGGACUGGGAGAGGUAGGAGGUACUCAGGGGGUAGGAGUGAAAUCCUGUAAUCCUUUGGGGACCACCGGUGGCGAAGGCGUCCUACCAGAACAGGUCCGACGGUGAGGGACGAAAGCUAGGGGCACGAACCGGAUUAGAUACCCGGGUAGUCCUAGCCGUACACGAUGCUCGCUAGGUGUCACAACAGUCGUGAACUGUUGUGGUGCCGUAGGGAAGUCGUGAAGCGAGCCACUUGGGAAGUACGACCGCAAGGUUGAAACUUAAAGGAAUUGGCGGGGGAGCAC